rnacentral:rRNA from 1 species
UACGUAGGGUGCAAGCGUCGUCCGGAAUUAUUGGGCGUAAAGAGCUCGUAGGCGGUCUGUCGCGUCUGCUGUGAAAACCUGGGGCUUAACCCCGGGCCUGCAGUGGGUACGGGCAGACUAGAGUGUGGUAGGGGAGACUGGAAUUCCUGGUGUAGCGGUGAAAUGCGCAGAUAUCAGGAGGAACACCGGUGGCGAAGGCGGGUCUCUGGGCCAUAACUGACGCUGAGGAGCGAAAGCGUGGGGAGCGAACAGG